rnacentral:lncRNA from 1 species
CGAUCGCCGCGCGCUCUCCGAACCAAAAGGCGACCUCACGAAAUGCCCCUUUGAGCUCAAAGGCUAGUUACCCCCAGGGGCCCUUCCACUCUCGGGGACAGGCGAAACCUCUUUGUCUCUGCCUCGGCCUGCGGCCCCCAGCCCAGCCUCCGCGCUUUCCCUCCGCCAGUCCUUGUCAAUCAAACCUGGUGCCAAACGCGGCAGCUGAAGUUUUCAGGGACACAUUUGCUUCUCCCCUUGAAGAACCAGUUACAAAGCGUGAUGUCCUCUCUGGGGUCCCAUCAGAACAAAGAAACAGGUCUAAAGACCCUCAUUCCAGAGAGCAUCCUGCCCCAUAUCCAGAAUGAAAUCCAUGCUCAGAGAUGCCAAGAAGAAUCUAGACAGACAGGCCUUUCUAGGUAGGUUUCCCCACUCGGUCUUUAGCAUUAGAUCUUACCCUUUUUGUCCAAUCAUAUUUCUACAUAGCUGCCCAUACUUUGUUGAACCUAAUGAUAAAAAUGGACAGUUUCCUCUAUAUCUUUGGGUCCGCAUUCUAAAGGCUCCUGUGUCAGGUACAACUCUAACCAAAUAAAUUUAUAUGCCUUUUCUCCUAGUAAUAUGUGAUUUUCAGCAAAACUUCAGAAGGCAAAGGGAAAGAUUUCCCAGCCCCUAACCAACAUUUGGCACUCGUAAGCUCUUCCUCUUUAACCUUCUAUUCUCCACUGGCUUCUGUCAUUUUAUUCCUAUGUAAAUGAAGAAAACAGAUUUCUCUUCUUCAAUCCAGCCAUUAAACUUGAUAAUUUUCUCUUCUCUUCUGUCUCACUUUUCCUAAGUAAUCUCAUUUCUUCCUGUGGCUUCAGCUAUCAAAUCUCUAACUCAAGCAACAUUGCUCUGAGUGCCAACACCAUAAAUUUAACUCUCCUCUGAAGAACUCUACUUGGAUGCUCCAGGUACCAAAUGAAAUAUCCAAAACGGAAGAAAGGAGAGUCCCUUCAUUUCCUGAAUCUGCUCCCUUCUGGUAUUCCGAAUCUUAUAGGCUGAGGCACCAAAGCCAGAAUCCUGAAAGUCAUCCUGAUCUCUGGCCUCUCACUAAUGACUCACAUACAAUCUCUCAACAUCUGUCAACUUCUUCCUAAAAAUCUCUUAAAUGUGGCCCUUCUGUCCAACCCCACUACUACUAGCUUAGUAGCUACCAUCAUUUCUCACCAGAAUUUCUACAAUAGCCACUGAACUUGUUUUCUGCUUCAUGUCUCAUAUGCCUCCAACCUACCAAUCUCACACCCCUGCUUAUCCUCAGCACCUGGAACAGUGUCUGGCAUGAAGUAGACACAAAUCAAUAUUUGUUGAAUGAACAAGCGAAUGAAUCAAUUCCUAUCAUAGAGCCC